UGAAAGUGAAUGACAUUGAAAGCUGUCCCUGCCAUUUUUAAUAUAUGGGGAAAAGAAACUCGGACAUGAUUUUUUAAUGCUCAUGUUUUUUUUGUUAAACAGACUAUAAUAGAGGCUUGCUCAGAAAUAUUUUCACUACAACAGUGUGAUACUUAUAAUAAUUGUAUAGUUGUAUCACUAGUAUAGGAUUUUAUUCAUUUUCAUUUGAUAGAUAUAUUUCCAAUCAUUUUUUCAUGUGGAACUUUUUGUGUGAAGCAACUUAUGAAAGCAUGCUAGGUCAUUGGAUUGCAAUUCAAACCCUCACAAUAUGCUAAUAUGUCCAUUAAGUUGUAUUGUGUCUUGAUUUAUGAUUAACCGAUGCAAAAAACUAAAUCUAAAUUGACAAUUGCUUUUAGAUUAAAAAUAAAUAAAUAAAUAAAAGAUUGUGAUCUUUUCUUUCCUAAUGCAUGUCUAACAAAAAUAAUUGUCAUAACAAUACUUUUGCAUAACCAGACCUUAGACUAUAAAGUCUGGUCCUCAUGAAGCUUAUUCAAGUCAAGAACCACCCACUUAAACAGGAAGAGACCGUCUGACCAACAUGUAAAUCAACCAGCCACAGAUUAAUCCACAGACACAAUUUAGAUUAUUAAGCAGAAUAUACAAUUAUUCUUGUGGAUAUCUAGUUAAGUUUCUAUAUGUCUUCGAUAUAUCACAAAUAUUUGGAAGGCUAGAAAUCUAUCUAGUACUAAGGCUUAGGCUAAUAUGUUUAUUCCUGGCAUGUAUUAGCAUAUACGUCAUUGCAGUGUUCUGAUCAGUAGUUUUGUUCUUGAUCUGAAUUGAAGAUUGACUGUAUGGCAAAGAGCCAUGGUUGUUGUGGACCUGGACGUGUUCAUAUGCCCAGCAGAUGUACAUAACAAGGAACACACUAAGUGCAUAUGUUUAACUUGACAUAUGGAGAGAGAAAGAGCAUUUUCCAUUUCCUUCUGUUUUUUCCCGCUAAUGGAAACAAAGAAGGAUGUCGAGGGUCCCUUGGUUCUUCAGUUCCAGCUCCAGUUAAAGUGGGGGGAAAGAAGAGGCCUCCGGUUGAGAGACAAACGGUUCAUUCUGAAGUACGUAGAUCCAUGAAGAUGAACAUGAUAGCCAUGAGCAGCCAUUUAAACAUGUCCACUGUAGUAUAAAAUGAAUUCAGACAAGAUUCUAUGAAUAACCGACACAUGAUAAGCUUCAGCUCCGGCAUUAGUGGAACUGAUUUGUUUUAGAAAAGAGACUGGUCUAUGCCUCUACAAAUUGGUAGCAUAUUUAGCACAGUAGAGAAAUACUCAUUAGUCACUUGAUUGCACUAUUAAAGGGCACAAAAUUUUUGUGCUAAUUUUGUUUUUGAGAGGAGCAGAUCAGAAGAUUUAAUAAAGAAUAUAUAAAAACAACCA
ensembl:lncRNA